UGUACAAAAGCCUGAAAUUUAAAAAAAAGAGAAAAUCCCUGAUUAACCCUGAUCAAUGGGAAUAUAGGAAAGUUAGCAUUAAGUCCAAAUUUAGAAAAGAGAUGUGGACCUCUUCAUUCACAGUAAAUAAGUCUCCAGGGAUGGCUUUUCACUUCUGCAAGUAACACCACUUGGCAGGACAGCUUUUCUUUAUUUUUCUUUUUUCUCUUAAAGUUUAUUAAUUCUUUGUAGAUUUCAUUCUAUGCAUCCCAUUCCCAUUGCUUUCCCUAUCCCUUCAAAUGUGCCCUCUCCUAUUGCAAUCCCCCUUCCCCCAAAUAAAACAAAUGAGUCACACAGUAAACCCUUUUUCCAAAUAUAUUUACUGGCGAGUGUUAAUUGCAUUGAGUCAUUGGUCAGGCUUGACGUCUCUGGCUUCUGUUACAAUAUAAAUACUGGGACCUUCCUGUGAUUCUUUUUGGAUAUCAUGCUGUUGCCAUAUGUAAUGAAGAUCUCACAGCUUUGGAUCUGCAGGACAAUUCGCUAACCAGGAUCUAGCAGUUCAUAGAUAGUUUUUUUUUUUUUUUGUUUGUUUGUUUGUUUGUUUUUGUGAUGUUCUAACUCAUUGCCCUUAUUUUGUGUCUGGGUGAUAGCUGGGUUCCUCAGACUACCAGUUUUCCUUCACCCUUACCACAAGGGUGAGCUCCUCAGCACUGCCUUGACUAUGUCCCCUAAUGCAGAAGGUAGCAAGGGAUGGGCCAGUUCUUCUGUUCUCAUACCUUUAGAGGCAGGCUCACCCACACCCACACUGCCAGGUCCAGCUCUACAGUGGCACCCAGGCAAGGUUCAGGGUCCACUUUCCCAAGUGCUGAAACUGGUGACAGGCUGGACAAACUUUCCAGUUCUCAUGCUACCAAGGCCAGCUCUCCCACCUGGAACAAACAGCAAGGGACCAGACAGAAGAGCUGGAGUAUGUUCAGCUCUCCCGCUCUCAAUAUUUGAGGCCAGCUCACCGGCAACCCUGUAUUUGAGGCCAUCUCAAUGGCACCCCUUCCAACAGGGUCAGCACUAUUGUGCUGUCCAAGCAGGUGCAGAGCCUGAUCUACCAGUCUCAUGACCCUAGUGUCAGCAAUCCUGUCUGCAACAGGUGGCAAGGGUUGAGGAGAAAGGAAUGAGGAGGGCAUCUCUCCCUCACACAUAUACUGUUGCAGGACAGACAAGAAGUGGGGACAUCUCUCCUACACUCAUGUUCUUGGUCCAGAUCAACUGGACCCCAUCAACAGGGUCAAUUCUACUAUAUUGUUUGGGUGAGUUGCAAAGGCCACUCAAGAUUCAGGGCCUGCUCUCCUGAGUUCUGUACCUGAUGAAGGGAGAGUUAGUUUUCCCUAGUGCUUACACCCAGGGAGGGGUAGGAACAACUCUGCAACCUUAUCCUCACAGCCUUCAGGGGUAAUGGGAGCCAGGGUCAUCAAUAUACACUGAAGAUGGGAUAGGUCAAAGGACCCAGACAAGGCACUUGGCAGGAGCUCAGACCCAGACAUCACCAUGGACUUGGAUGGAAAUCAGGUCUUAAGGAAUUUGGCUGGCAUUCGAUGGGGGAUUGCAUUGAAUCUGUAGAUUGAUUUAUCAAACAUCACAAAAAGACAAACGAUGAAUGAAGAAAUAUCUUCACGAUGCAGGAAAAACAUUACUGAAGGAGAGACACUGCACCACAAUUGAUUUGAACAACAAAGAAAGUUAAGUUAAAAUUUUAAAAAUGACAAAAGGCAUUUGUAUUAAAUUAAUGAGGAUGUACAAAUUUAUGAAGAAGGGAAUAUUUUAUGUUUCCUAGGACUUAGAAUAAAAUUGGAGCAUACUAGGAUAGAAGAAAAGACAUGCAUUUAAAGGGGACACCACAUGGGUUAUAAAGGACAUUUGAGAUCAUGGCUAUCUUCUGCACAUGCUCACCUGGUAGCUGGCAUGUACAACAGAGAUCCGUAGCAGAGCAGUAUAAGUCAAUUCAUCUCACCCACUUGGCUGAGUCUGACUUCAUC